AUGUACAAAUGGCUAGAAAACCCCCUUAGUGGCUGCCACUAUAGAUGGGUUUGGAAGGCCAAGAUCCCCCUCAAGAUCAAAAUUUUCCUGUGGCAGUUAUCUCAGGAUGCUGUUCUGACUAGGCAAGUUAUGAAAGAGUGGAAAUGGCCUGGGGAUCCUAAAUGUUCCUUUUGUGACAAUAUUGAGUCUUCCCGGCAUUUGUUUUUCACCUGCCCUGUGGCUAAAGUGGUCUGGCGUUGUGUUGGGAUGGCACUAGGGACUGAUCUCUGUCCUAAUAGUUACUGGCAAUACUUCUCCUGGUGUCACACUUUCCUUCUCUAUGGGAAGAAAUACUAUACUGUCGGCCUUGCGGCUGUUUGCUGGGCUAUUUGGCUGGCUCGAAAUCGAGCCACGUUUGAAAAAAAGCUGAUCAAGACGUCGUUUGAGAUUGUGUUUUCCAUUUGUUCCUUUUUGAUGUAUUGGGCAGGUCUUCAGCAAGGCGAUGGAGCCAAGGAGCUGCGCAGCGGGGCGGACAUGGUCAUGUCUAGCACUAUGAGCAUGAUGAAGAUGUGCGAGGCGGCGAGGAGGCCGAUCGAGGGAGAAUGA
rnacentral:rRNA from 1 species